rnacentral:rRNA from 1 species
CCUACGGGAGGCAGCAGUGGGGAAUCUUGCGCAAUGGGCGAAAGCCUGACGCAGCCAUGCCGCGUGAAUGAUGAAGGUCUUAGGAUUGUAAAAUUCUUUCACCGGGGACGAUAAUGACGGUACCCGGAGAAGAAGCCCCGGCUAACUUCGUGCCAGCAGCCGCGGUAAUACGAAGGGGGCUAGCGUUGCUCGGAAUUACUGGGCGUAAAGGGAGCGUAGGCGGACAUUUAAGUCAGGGGUGAAAUCCCAGAGCUCAACUCUGGAACUGCCUUUGAUACUGGAUGUCUUGAGUGUGAGAGAGGUAUGUGGAACUCCGAGUGUAGAGGUGAAAUUCGUAGAUAUUCGGAAGAACACCAGUGGCGAAGGCGACAUACUGGCUCAUUACUGACGCUGAGGCUCGAAAGCGUGGGGAGCAAACAGGAUUAGAUACCCUGGUAGUCCACGCCGUAAACGAUGAUUGCUAGUUGUCGGGAUGUUUACAUCUCGGUGACGCAGCUACGACAUAAGUACAUCCGCCGUCGGGAGGUACGGUCGCGAGAAGUAAACUAACUAAUUAGUUAAGUUAGUUACGGCGUGAGACGUUGCCGACGGACGACGACGAGGGAGGAGG